rnacentral:rRNA from 1 species
CCUACGGGAGGCAGCAGUGGGGAAUAUUGGGCAAUGGGGGGAACCCUGAUCCAGCGACGCCGCGUGAGUGAAGAAGUAUUUCGGUAUGUAAAGCUCUAUCAGCAGGGAAGAAAAUGACGGUACCUGACUAAGAAGCCCCGGCUAACUACGUGCCAGCAGUCGCGGUAAUACGUAGGGGGCGAGCGUUGUCCGGAAUGACUGGGCGUAAAGGGAGUGUAGGCGGCAUAUGAAGUUAUGUGUGAAAGCCCGCGGAUCAACCGCGGAAUUGCACAGAAAACUGGUAAGCUGGAGUGCAGGAGAGGUAAGUGGAAUUCCCGGUGUAGCGGUGGAAUGCGUAGAUAUCGGGAGGAACACCAGAGGCGAAGGCGACUUACUGGACUGUAACUGACGCUGAGGCUCGAAAGCGUGGGGAGCAAACAGGAUUAGAUACCCCAGUAGUC